rnacentral:sRNA from 12 species
UACAGGAGGUCCCCAAAUGAUGCGCAGCAUCAUUUUUUGCAUGGGACCGACGAGCUGCCGCCGAACGAAGUGAGGGACAACACAAAAA